GUUGGAGCUGUGUGGGUGGCUGAGGGAACUGCAGAACCUUGGACAGGGCAGCACUGCCAGAAGCUGGGGAGUCCUGAGCUGGUUGUGGGACUCCAUUAGGACAAGGCCCUGAAUGGAGGUGGUGAUGAAAGGAAAUGUGGAUUCUGUAAAGAUUAUGGAGCCUCAUUCAUCCCUGGUGUUACUCUACUGAAGGAAACAGUUACCAAGGAGCUUCCCUCACAAGAGUGAAGGCUUCAGAUUUACCAUGCCAGAGUAUGCUGGAUGGGGGCCUUGCAAAUACAUCCACUGGCACUCCAUGGCACCAAAGACACAGGACUCCAGGGCCUUUCUCCUCUCCACUCUUGUUCUCCAGGUUGUCUUCAAUGUUCAUCUUCCAGGCUUUGUACUCACGGUCCAGUGCAGCAGGAUUUCAUUGAACAUGUCAUCCCACGUCCUCUUCCUUAUCUGGCUCAGGCAUUCAGUGAGUGUGGAGGUGGAGACCCUGAAGGCUGCAGUGGCAGCCCUUGAAGAUAAAAUACAGAGGUACCAUUAUCAGGGUCUUCACUAUGGAGAGUGAAACUUAAGAUGCUGAACUUCCUCCCCUUGCUUGCCUAAAGUUUUUUAAGCACUACAUUUUCACUUC